UCCGUUCUAACCAGCAUCUCAUCUGUGACAAUCUCGUGCCAGGACGAGAUCUCUUACUGCAGACCCGUCUUGUGAAUCAUGUCAGCAGGUAGUUUGAUAUCUGGCUGGCUGUGUGCUGCAGAGCUGUCAGAUGCUGGUGUCUAAGGGUUACCCAGACAUUGGGUGGAAUCCAGUUGAAGGAGAGAGAUACCUCGACUUUCUCAGAUUUGCUGUCUUCUGUAAAGGAGAGAGUGUAGAAAAGAAUGCAAUAUUGUGGUGAGGUUGCUCAUCCGGAGGCCCGAGUGCUUUGGUCCUGCCUUGAGAGGGGAAGAUGGCAA